rnacentral:rRNA from 1 species
UGGGGAAUAUUGGACAAUGGGCGAAAGCCUGAUCCAGCAAUGCCGCGUGAGUGAUGAAGGCCUUAGGGUUGUAAAGCUCUUUCGCACGCGACGAUGAUGACGGUAGCGUGAGAAGAAGCCCCGGCUAACUUCGUGCCAGCAGCCGCGGUAAUACGAAGGGGGCUAGCGUUGUUCGGAAUUACUGGGCGUAAAGGGCGCGUAGGCGGCUCGUCAAGUCAGGCGUGAAAUCCCCGAGCUUAACUUGGGAAUAGCGCUUGAGACUGGCGAGCUUGAGUCCGGGAGAGGUGAGUGGAAUUCCCAGUGUAGAGGUGAAAUUCGUAGAUAUUGGGAAGAACACCAGUGGCGAAGGCGGCUCACUGGACCGGCACUGACGCUGAGGCGCGAAAGCGUGGGGAGCAAACAGGAUUNGAUACCCUGGUAGUCACGCCGUAAACGAUGAGUGCUAGACGUUGGGGUCCUUAGGGCUUCGUGUCNCAGCUAACGCAUUAAGCACUCCGCCUGGGGAGUACGGCCGCAAGGUUGAAACU